rnacentral:rRNA from 1 species
UACGAAGGGGGCUAGCGUUGCUCGGAAUCACUGGGCGUAAAGCGCACGUAGGCGGAUUGCUAAGUCAGGGGUGAAAUCCUGGAGCUCAACUCCAGAACUGCCUUUGAUACUGGCGAUCUCGAGUCCGGGAGAGGUGAGUGGAACUGCGAGUGUAGAGGUGAAAUUCGUAGAUAUUCGGAAGAACACCAGUGGCGAAGGCGACUCACUGGACGAUUGUUGACGCUGAGGUGCGAAAGCGUGGGGAGCAAACAGG